rnacentral:rRNA from 1 species
GAAUGAUUGAAGAAUAUUGUUUUCUAGUAACAGGAUAAUCUUGUUGUCCUGUCUUUGUAGCUACACCAACCCCGUCCGCGUCUUCGUCAAGCAUUAACUAAUUUAUCAACCAAACGUGGCAGAUGGAUCAAUUUGUUGUCCAUUUCAACAAGUUAUGAGGGUGGACAUGGUCAUGUGCACUGCAGUGCAGUGCAGUGAUGAAGAGGAUAAGGGACGACGAAAAUUCUUCGCAAGAGGCGUGCAUGGGCACUCCCCAUGUGCAAUCAUGAAGAGGUUGCAUGACAGGCGAAGCUUCUUCCGGCCAGCCGCCGCGCUCCAGAAUUCAACGGCCAAGACUAGCGCACGCUUAAAUUGUUCCAUAAAAUGGCGGCACUCGGCGCCUCGGGUCAUUCAUCCAACCAUGUCCACGCUGAGAGCGCGGUGUGCGACGGCCGUCCUGGCCGUCGUCCUGGCGGCGGCCGCGGUCACGCCGGCCACGGCCGAGCAGUGCGGCUCGCAAGCCGGCGGCGCCAAGUGCGCCGACUGCCUGUGCUGCAGCCAGUUCGGGUUCUGCGGCACCACCUCCGACUACUGCGGCCCCCGCUGCCAGAGCCAGUGCACUGGCUGCGGUGGCGGCGGCGGCGGGGUGGCCUCCAUCGUGUCCAGGGACCUCUUCGAGCGGUUCCUGCUCCAUCGCAACGACGCAGCGUGCCUGGCCCGCGGGUUCUACACGUACGACGCCUUCUUGGCCGCCGCCGGCGCGUUCCCGGCCUUCGGCACCACCGGAGACCUGGACACGCGGAAGCGGGAGGUGGCGGCCUUCUUCGGCCAGACCUCUCACGAGACCACCGGCGGGUGGCCCACCGCGCCCGACGGCCCCUUCUCAUGGGGCUACUGCUUCAAGCAGGAGCAGGGCUCGCCGCCGAGCUACUGCGACCAGAGCGCCGACUGGCCGUGCGCACCCGGCAAGCAGUACUAUGGCCGCGGCCCCAUCCAGCUCACCCACAACUACAACUACGGACCGGCGGGCCGCGCAAUCGGGGUGGACCUGCUGAACAAUCCGGACCUGGUGGCCACGGACCCGACAGUGGCGUUCAAGACGGCGAUAUGGUUCUGGAUGACGACGCAGUCCAACAAGCCGUCGUGCCAUGACGUGAUCACGGGGCUGUGGACUCCGACGGCCAGGGAUAGCGCAGCCGGACGGGUACCCGGGUAUGGUGUCAUCACCAACGUCAUCAACGGCGGGAUCGAAUGCGGCAUGGGGCAGAACGACAAGGUGGCGGAUCGGAUCGGGUUCUACAAGCGCUAUUGUGACAUCUUCGGCAUCGGCUACGGGAAUAACCUCGACUGCUACAACCAAUUGUCGUUCAACGUUGGGCUCGCGGCACAGUGAGAUGGUAAGACUAUGGGUCCUUGAUAUGCAUGUGUGGAUGUGAUCACACAUAAAUAAAUAAUCUUGGGAAGUACUUUAUGACCAAAUAAAUGGAUGACCAGACCUCCCACGUGUGUAAUGGUACAUUUACGUCGAUGAACGGAGAGGAAUCACCUUUAUUAAAAAAAAAGUUAUAGUAGUUUAUGCAGAAACGUCUGCAAACUAUAUGUCGCCUAAUGUCCAUACUCGCUUGUCUCAGUGGACAGUUAUUUCGUACCUCCUCCGCCCCAAAAUAAAAUAAGCGUCAACCUUUGGUUGGAUAAUUAGAGUGACAGUGAUAUUCCCAGCUCACUAGGGUUUAAGUCCUGGUGCUCACAUUAUUCGUGGAUUUAUUUUAGGAUUUUCGGUGAUGCGCUUUCAGUGGGAGGAGACGUUUCCGUCGACUACGAGGCGCCUACGGUGACUUUGUAAAUUUCAAGAUGAUAUGCCGACUCAGUCUCUCGAAGGUGCUCAUAGGGGUAAGGUGUGCGUGUGUAUGUUCAUAGGGAUGAGCGUAUGCGCAUAUGUAUGAGCGCUUGCGUUUGUACUAUGUUAAAAAACACUUAUUUGAGACGGCUGAAGUACUCUACUAAUUUUGCUAAUAAAUUGACGAGUGUUUAGAGCAGAAAUGAAUUUACUUGCCCAUUUCUUUACUUCAAACUAUUUGUUAUUUACGCUAGUCAGAUUUCAGUUAUGUGGUGGAAUUAUUAUAUUUGACAUGCAGGUUCCAAACUACUUUUUUUAACCGAGAAAGGGGGCAACAGUGCCAUAUAUUUCAACUCAUAGACAUAAUACAGAGUGAAAGUACAUAACCCUGUCGGGGAGAAAGAAGAAGAACUUGAAUUACAGGGCAUGGCCUAUACCCAUGGGCUAAGCAAAGAUAACCGGAAGAAGAUCUAAUCAGAAGGAUUAGAGCAACUUCAAUGUGGUUACCCA